rnacentral:rRNA from 1 species
CAGUAGCCGCGGUAAUACGGAGGGUGCAAGCGUUAAUCGGAAUUACUGGGCGUAAAGCGCACGCAGGCGGUCUGACAAGUCAGAUGUGAAAUCCCCGGGCUUAACCUGGGAACUGCAUUUGAAACUGUCAGGCUGGAGUCUUGUAGAGGGGGGUAGAAUUCCAGGUGUAGCGGUGAAAUGCGUAGAGAUCUGGAGGAAUACCGGUGGCGAAGGCGGCCCCCUGGACAAAGACUGACGCUCAGGUGCGAAAGCGUGGGGAGCAAACAGGAUUAGAUACCCCAGUAGUCCCUGUUUCUUAUAA